UUUUUUUUUUUUUUUUUUUUUUAAUUCGUAGGAUUAUUUCUCUUCUCUGUGAUGCUGGGGUGGCUGUUUGUCUUGCACUCGGAUGUACAGACUGUCUAAUGAACAUAAAGCUCGGUGCAUGGUUUCUUAGUAUUGCAAACAGCUUGGGGCAGUAGAGGCAGAAUGCAGUCUCAGCACAUGGAUUUGAUCAAAUAGCAAAAGCUUAGUGCACAGUACAGUUCAUCGACUGUAGGAUUGACUGCGAUUCUCUGUUCGAGAGGGGGAGAUUACUAGAAUCAUCUUUACCAUCUGAAAGCUUUUGGAGAUAGUCUGUUUGUCUGUCUCGCAUGGUAGACUCUGGAGCACAGAUCUUAGAAAGUAACCAGAGCAUAAAAUGUGACCUUUGUUUGCCAUGGGAGAUCAGCUGAGGCCAGUCUGUUGGGCUCAGGGGGCGUGGUGGGGGAGUGUGUGUGUGUGUGUGUGUGUGUGUGUGUGUGUGUGUGUGCGUGUGCUAAGGGCACUGCAGCUGUCUAGGCCUUGGGAUGAGAACCUGCUGGUCUGUCCCUGAAGGUUUAGAAGCAAGGCAUCAGGGGAAGGCUUUGGGGCCCCCAUGAGGCUGGGUGAAGGAUUGCCUCUUGUUCUGUGGGAUCUUCUAAACCGAUUCUGAAGUUUAUUUUUCUCUUUCAAAGUUCUUUAUUCAUAUGUGUCCUGAUGUCAUCUCAGUGUGGGGAAAGUCUCCCUGUGUUCUGUUGAAGCAACAUUAAAUAUGAGGCUUUUCUGACAGAUACAAUAAAGCCUGCGAUGAUGAUAAAGAAUUAAAAUGUUUUCAUGUGUCCCCACCACAUAAGACUUUUAUGCCGAUUCCCUACCUCAACCCAGUUAAAACCUGCUACAUUCUCAGCUUAAAGAGACUGGCCCUCCCCGCCUUCCUGUACACCAGUUCUUUUCAGACUGGCCAACUGAAUAAGAGUGAAUAAAGUUCAACCACAGCCAGUGGAGAAAAGACACAGUCACCACCUAAGUUAAA
rnacentral:lncRNA from 1 species